rnacentral:rRNA from 1 species
ACAACUUUUAACGGUGGAUCUCUAGGCUCGUGCAUCGAUGAAGAACGCAGCGAAAUGCGACACGUAGUGUGAAUUGCAGAUCUUCGUGAAUCAUUGAAUCUUUGAACGC